CAACCUCAACUCAUAUGGGACUACCCCCUGAAUUUAAGCAUAUUAAUUAGGGGAGGAAAAGAAACUAACAAGGAUUUUCUUAGUAGCGGCGAGCGAAAAGAAAUCAGUUCAGCACUAAGUCACUUUGUCUAUAUGGCAAAUGUGAGAUGCAGUGUAUGGAGCGUCAAUAUUCUAGUAUGAGAAAUUAACGAUUUAAGUCCUUCUUAAAUGAGGCCAUUUACCCAUAGAGGGUGCCAGGCCCGUAUAACGUUAAUGAUUACUAGAUGAUGUUUCCAAAGAGUCGUGUUGCUUGAUAGUGCAG
rnacentral:ncRNA from 1 species